rnacentral:rRNA from 1 species
UACGUAGGGUGCAAGCGUUGUCCGGAAUUAUUGGGCGUAAAGAGCUUGUAGGCGGUUUGUCGCGUCUGCUGUGAAAUUUCGGGGCUCAACCCCGAACUUGCAGUGGGUACGGGCAGACUAGAGUGUGGUAGGGGAGACUGGAAUUCCUGGUGUAGCGGUGAAAUGCGCAGAUAUCAGGAGGAACACCGAUGGCGAAGGCAGGUCUCUGGGCAUUAACUGACGCUGAGGAGCGAAAGCAUGGGGAGCGAACAGGA